UAGCGAGAAAGUCCGCACGGAUGAGAAAAGCGGCGCACGGGUGCGUAACACGUGGGUAAUCUUCCUUGGAGCCCGGAAUAACUCCCCGAAAGGGGUGCUAAUGCCGGAUGAGACCACGGGAUCCCCGGAUCCUGAGGGAAAAGGCGGCCUCUGUAUACAAGCUGUCACUCCAAGAUGAGCCCGCGGCCCAUCAGCUAGUUGGCGGGGUAAUGGCCCACCAAGGCUACGACGGGUAGCUGGUCUGAGAGGACGAUCAGCCACACUGGAACUGAGACACGGUCCAGACUCCUACGGGAGGCAGCAGUGGGGAAUCUUGCGCAAUGGGCGAAAGCCUGACGCAGCAACGCCGCGUGUGUGAUGAAGGUCUUCGGAUCGUAAAGCACUGUCGGGAGGGACGAAUAAGGUGGCGGCUAACAUCCGUCGCUGAUGACGGUACCUCCAAAGGAAGCACCGGCUAACUCUGUGCCAGCAGCCGCGGUAAUACAGAGGGUGCAAGCGUUGUUCGGAAUUAUUGGGCGUAAAGCGCGUGUAGGCGGCCAGGCAAGUUGGGUGUGAAAGCCCUCGGCUUAACCGAGGAAGUGCGCCCAAAACUACUUGGCUUGAGUACCGGAGAGGGUGGCGGAAUUCCCGGUGUAGAGGUGAAAUUCGUAGAUAUCGGGAGGAACACCAGUGGCGAAGGCGGCCACCUGGACGGAUACUGACGCUGAGACGCGAAAGCGUGGGUAGCAAACAGGAUUAGAUACCCUGGUAGUCCACGCUGUAAACGAUGAGCGCUAGGUGUUGUGGGUGUUGACCCCCGCAGUGCCGCAGCUAACGCAUUAAGCGCUCCGCCUGGGAAGUACGGCCCGCAGGCUAAAACUCAAAU
rnacentral:rRNA from 1 species